UACGAAGGUGGCAAGCGUUGUUCGGAUUUACUGGGCGUACAGGGAGCGUAGGCGGUUGGAUAAGCCCUCCGUGAAAUCUCCAGGCUUAACCUGGAAAGUGCAGAGGGGACUGUUCAGCUAGAGGAUGGGAGAGGAGCGCGGAAUUCCCGGUGUAGCGGUGAAAUGCGUAGAGAUCCGGAGGAACACCAGCGGCGAAGGCGGCAUCCUGGACUGGUCCUGACACUCAGGAGCGAAAGCGUGGGGAGCGAUCCGG
rnacentral:rRNA from 1 species